CGAGAGGCCCAAACGUUAUUCGGAAUUACUGGGCUUAAAGAGUUCGUAGGCGGCGCGGAAAGUAGGGUGUGAAAGCCCUCGGCUCAACCGAGGAAUUGCGCCCUAAACUGCCGUGCUUGAGGAACCUAGAGGUGAGCAGAACAGAUGGUGGAGCGGUGAAAUGCGUUGAUAUCAUCUGGAAUACCGGAGGCGAAGGCGGCUCACUGGGGGUUUUCUGACGCUGAGGAACGAAAGCCAGGGGAGCGAACGGGAUUAGAUACCCCGGUAGUCCUGGCCGUAAACGAUGAGCACUAGGCCGGAGGGCUGCACAGCUUUCCGGCCGUAGCUAAAGUGUUAAGUGCUCCGCCUGGGGAGUAUGGUCGCAAGGCUG
rnacentral:rRNA from 1 species